UGAACAUUUACUCUAAAAAAAAUCACAUAGAAUUCACAUGCUUUGGUAUGGUUCAAAAUGAUAUCAUGUGAAGAAGUUUCAUCAUUGCUUUGAUAUCAUGACUUUCGAUGUAGUUAAGAGUUUAUGUGCAGUUGCAUUUUUCUCUAUGUGCUGCAGUAUGAAUUCGUUGGUCAUUAGCGAAGCUGCAUGUUGUGGGAUGCAGAUAAAUGAACUGCAAAUGGUUACACCUUGCAGCCUGAGAUAUUUCAUCAGCUAAAGGAAGAUAUAGGGUGUGGUUUUGUUAAUGGCGGUGGAUGAUUUGGAUGAAAGUAAUAAACGUGGUCCAACUAGUAGCUGAUAAAAUGUCAUUGUAUAUAUGCUUUUGUCGAUUUCUGCUACAAUAAUGAGGGAAUCUAGAGGAUCGAGGCCAAUUGAUCUGAGGUU